CAGUCAAGUGGCCAGAAGGAGACUAGGCUGAGGGGUUAAGCUGAGCAGGGAGUCAUACUGGGAGAGCCAGGCAGCAGGGAGAGGAGCUCUUGAGAGUACAGGUUCUGUUGGAGACAAACAUCUAAGAUAUCCAGGGAAGCUGGGAGGAAGGCUCCCAAGAAGACUUGAAACUAGAGGACUGAGUUGUGGCUGCAGGGGUGGAGGAGGACAUGAACAGAGGUGCUGAAGUGCACCCCCCCGCCCCUCCCGGUACAGGGCCCAGGAGACAGCCCCAAGCUGUGCAGCAGAAACUGGCGUACUGAACCCCUGGGCUGAGGAAUUUUGUCCUAUGUGGAUUUUGUCCUAUUUAAAUAUUAGCAGAGCAUUAAACUAUCAGGUUCUGCCUGGUGCUAAGCCUGCCUGCUUCAAGUGCACAGACAUGUUGAUCAACAGCGUAAACCAGGAAAAGAAGCGGAGUGAAAUGGCAUAAGCAAUACUUUCAGUGGUAAAACCCUCCAAGGAAACUUUGGCUUGGAUACUAGAGGAAUCAGUCCUGAACUGAAAACCAAGCAGGUGUCAGUAUGCUUCUAGCACCUCCAGCAUCCAGUACCUUUUCCCCAGAUCUCUGAUAUGAAACAGUAAUUCACACAAUCAUACACGGAGAAUAUAUUUACAAAUCAAGUUUUAAAAGAGGCUUUUAAAUUCCAAACACCUGCAAGCACUGAAAUCAACAUAAUGAAAUAGUUGAAAGUUCACAUUUGCAUGAGACUGCAGAAGGAGAAAAACACUCAUCUAUAAAAUAACUUAGGAAAUCAAUUGCUUCAGCCCCUGAUUCUAACUGUCCUAAAAAUGUUAAGUCUUUCAUUAAAUCAAGAAUGUUAGGCAAAGCCUGACGAAUUGCUGUAUUAGGCAAUAAAUCCAUUAUGUUCCUCCCUAUCUCUAAUGCAUCAUGUUCCACAAUCAGCUUGACUGGAAAAAAUGACUGUUUUUUAAGGGGACUCAUCUUAAUUGUACUAAAAUUCCCACAGUUCACUCAAGGAAUGGUCCACUAUUCCCUCCUCACACUGGUGGAAACUGGGAGUGGCUCCCAGGAGCCACAUUUGAAGCAGAAGAGAAAUAUGCCAUCUGGCUGAUCUGCAGUGCAGUGCUGAGAUAGCAGCUUCAGAGGAAAAGAGCCAAAAAUGCUACAGCCAGCAGGAAGUAAAAUGUGCGGGGAAGAUGGGGAAAAAACAGCCCUGGAAGUCAGAUGACUUACCUAGCUUAUACCCAAAUGCCUGGUUGUUCUCUUUCAUUAAAAUAGUUACUCAUACUUGAGAUCAGAAGCAGACAUUUUAGAUUGACAGCAUAUUAUUCCUCCAAAAAGCAGCCUAGUAUGGAAGGUUUCAUAAUGGCCCAAAAUGAUUUUUUUUAAAAUGUGUAAAGGGGAGCUAUUUAUGUAUUUGAUGGCAAAUACAGAGUGCUUGUGCAAUAAUUGUUCUUCUCCAGCCCUGAUGUCUAUACUGUUUCACUCCUCUGUGUGCAGUGAACAUUUCAUGAUUAAGAUUUAUACUCACUGCAAUCAAUGCAGUUAUACUGGGGUGAAUUUGACUUGCUAUAUUUAUCAAAGAUUUAAGAAAACUAUAAAUAAAUUAUUACACAAAAGUACCAAGCAUAUUAACAGUUAUCUGGAGCACAGAAGUCUUCAUAUAUUAUUA